CUACGGGGGGCUGCAGUGGGGAAUAUUGGACAAUGGGCGAAAGCCUGAUCCAGCCAUGCCGCGUGUGUGAAGAAGGCCUUCGGGUUGUAAAGCACUUUAAGCGGGGAGGAAGGCCUUGAGACUAAUACUCUUGAGGAUUGACGUUACCCGCAGAAUAAGCACCGGCUAACUCUGUGCCAGCAGCCGCGGUCAUACAGAGGCUGCAAGCCUUAAUCGGAAUUACUGGGCGUAAGUCGCGCGUGGGCGGUUUGAAAUCCCCGGGCUCAACCUGGGCACGGCAUCCGAUACUGGCUGACUAGAGUGUGGGAGAGGAAGGUAGAAUUCCAGGUGUAGCGGUGAAAUGCGUAGAGAUCUGGAGGAAUACCGAUGGCGAAGGCAGCCUUCUGGCCUAACACUGACGCUGAGGUGCGAAAGCAUGGGGAGCAAACAGGAUUAGAUACCCGGGUAGUC
rnacentral:rRNA from 1 species